AGAGUUUGAUCCUGGCUCAGAAUCAACGCUGGCGGCGUGCCUAACACAUGCAAGUCGAACGCGAAAGUUCCUUCGGGGAUGAGUAGAGUGGCGUCCGGGUGAGUAACGCGUGGGUAAUCUACCUUUGGGUGGGGAAUAACUCAGGGAAACUUGAGCUAAUACCGCAUAAUGCAGCGGCUCGACAUCGAGACAGUUGUUAA
rnacentral:rRNA from 1 species